AUCUAUUAAGUAUAUUUACGUCAUUUUUUCAUGAUGGAGAGGUGUUUUUAU
rnacentral:tRNA from 1 species